rnacentral:rRNA from 1 species
UUACCCGCUGAAACUUAAGCAUAUCAAUAAGCGGAGGAAAAGAAACCAACAGGGAUUGCCUUAGUAACGGCGAGUGAAGCGGCAACAGCUCAAAUUUGAAAUCUGGCUCUUUCAGAGUCCGAGUUGUAAUUUGCAGAGGGCGCUUUGGCUUUGGCAGCGGUCCAAGUUCCUUGGAACAGGACGUCACAGAGGGUGAGAAUCCCGUACGUGGUCGCUAGCUAUUGCCGUGUAAAGCCCCUUCGACGAGUCGAGUUGUUUGGGAAUGCAGCUCUAAAUGGGAGGUAAAUUUCUUCUAAAGCUAAAUAUUGGCCAGAGACCGAUAGCGCACAAGUAGAGUGAUCGAAAGAUGAAAAGCACUUUGGAAAGAGAGUCAAACAGCACGUGAAAUUGUUGAAAGGGAAGCGCUUGCAGCCAGACUUGCUUGCAGUUGCUCAUCCGGGCUUUUGCCCGGUGCACUCUUCUGCAGGCAGGCCAGCAUCAGUUUGGGCGGUGGGAUAAAGGUCUCUGACACGUUCCUUCCUUCGGGUUGGCCAUAUAGGGGAGACGUCAUACCACCAGCCUGGACUGAGGUCCGCGCAUCUGCUAGGAUGCUGGCGUAAUGGCUGUAAGCGGCCCGUCUUGAAACACGGACCAAGGAGUCUAACAUCUAUGCGAGUGUUUGGGUGUCAAGCCCGAGCGCGUAAUGAAAGUGAACGGAGGUGGGAACCCGCAAGGGCGCACCAUCGACCGAUCCUGAAGUUUACGGAAGGAUUUGAGUAAGAGCAUGGCUGUUGGGACCCGAAAGAUGGUGAACUAUGCUUGAAUAGGGUGAAGCCAGAGGAAACUCUGGUGGAGGCUCGCAGCGGUUCUGACGUGCAAAUCGAUCGUCAAAUUUGGGCAUAGGGGCGAAAGACUAAUCGAACUAUCUAGUAGCUGGUUCCUGCCGAGUUUCCC